UUUUUUUAAAUGGCCGCAGUAUCCUAACUGUGCAAAGGUAGCAUAAUCAUUAGUCUUUUAAUUGAAGGCUGGUAUGAAUGGUUGGACGAGGUAUUAACUGUUUCAAAUAAAUUUAUAAUAGAAUUUUAUUUUUUAGUCAAAAAGCUAAAAUUUUAUUAAAAGACGAGAAGACCCUAUAAAUCUUUACUUUUAGUUUUAUUUUAAUUAUUAAGAUAAAUUUUAUUAUAAUAAAAUAAAAAGUUUUAUUGGGGUGAUAUUAAAAUUUAAUAAACUUUUAAUUUUUAUAAACAUAGAUUCAUGAUUAAUUGAUCCAUUAAUAGUGAUUAAAAAUUUAAGUUACUUUAGGGAUAACAGCGUAAUUUUUUUGGAGAGUUCUUAUCGAUAAAAAAGAUUGCGACCUCGAUGUUGGAUUAAGAAAAAUUUUAGGUGUAGCC
rnacentral:rRNA from 1 species